rnacentral:rRNA from 1 species
GUGCCAGCAGCCGCGGUAAUACGUAGGAGGCGAGCGUUGUCCGGAUUUAUUGUGCGUAAAGAGCUCGUAGGCGGUUCAACAAGUCGGUCGUGAAAGUUCAGGGCUCAACCCUGAAAUGUCGAUCGAUACUGUUGUGACUAGGAUACGGUAGAGGUGAGUGGAAUUCCGAGUGUAGCGGUGAAAUGCGUAGAUAUUAGAAAGAAUACCAAUUGCGAAGGCAGCUUUCUGGAUCAUUACUGACGCUGAGGAACGAAAGCAUGGGUAGCGAACAGGAUUAGAUA